AUUGAACGCUGGCGGCAGGCUUAACACAUGCAAGUCGAGCGGGGUGAUGGUGCUUGCACUAUCACUUAGCGGCGGACGGGUGAGUAAUGCUUAGGAAUCUGCCUAUUAGUGGGGGACAACAUCUCGAAAGGGAUGCUAAUACCGCAUACGUCCUACGGGAGAAAGCAGGGGAUCACUUGUGACCUUGCGCUAAUAGAUGAGCCUAAGUCGGAUUAGCUAGUUGGUGGGGUAAAGGCCUACCAAGGCGACGAUCUGUAGCGGGUCUGAGAGGAUGAGCCGCCACACUGGGACUGAGACACGGCCCAGACUCCGACGGGAGGCAGCAGUGGGGAAUAUUGGACAAUGGGGGGAACCCUGAUCCAGCCAUGCCGCGUGUGUGAAGAAGGCCUUAUGGUUGUAAAGCACUUUAAGCGAGGAGGAGGCUCUUUUGGUUAAUACCCAAGAUGAGUGGACGUUACUCGCAGAAUAAGCACCGGCUAACUCUGUGCCAGCCGCCGCUGUAA
rnacentral:rRNA from 1 species